rnacentral:rRNA from 1 species
AUUGAACGCUGGCGGCAUGCUUUACACAUGCAAGUCGAACGGUAACAGGUUAAGCUGACGAGUGGCGAACGGGUGAGUAAUGCAUCGGAACGUGCCCGGUCGUGGGGGAUAACGCAGCGAAAGCUGCGCUAAUACCGCAUACGAUCUGAGGAUGAAAGCGGGGUACCGUAAGGCCUCGCGCGAUCGGAGCGGCCGAUGUCAGAUUAGGUAGUUGGUGGGGUAAAGGCUCACCAAGCCAACGAUCUGGAGCUGGUCUGAGAGGACGACCAGCCACACUGGGACUGAGACACGGCCCAGACUCCUACGGGAGGCAGCAGUGGGGAAUUUUGGACAAUGGGCGAAAGCCUGAUCCAGCAAUGCCGCGUGCAGGAAGAAGGCCUUCGGGUUGUAAACUGCUUUUGUACGGAGCGAAAAGGUCCCCUCUAAUACAGGGGGCUCAUGACGGUACCGUAAGAAUAAGCACCGGCUAACUACGUGCCAGCCGCCGCCGUAA